rnacentral:tRNA from 1 species
UGGGGAAUCGUCUAGCGGUAGGACACCGGACUCUGGAUCCGGCAGGGAAGGUUCGAAUCCUUCUUCCCCAGCCA